UAGAGUAAAAUUUCCUUUUCAAAUCAUUUAUUUAAGUAAUGCAAGAGCAAAACAAUAUUAGGUAAACAGCAGCACAGCUAAGCCUGCAGAUACGCAAGAACCACAGAGCUGGAACCCUGGUAGCUGAAGUUGGGGACACACAGCUCUGCACAACAUCACCCCCCGCCCUGCCCCACAGCGAAUCUUCUUUACUGUCAGUGACUUGGCCUCUUGGAUUCCCUGACUCAAUAUGAUCAAGAAGAGAGAAAAAAAAUAGGCAUUUGCAGUGAGCUUUCAGUUACUCUGCCAAGUAGCAAAGCCAGGUGUCUCCUUUGCUGUCUCUGUCUACCUCUGUACAAAGAUGAUAAACUUCACUUUCCAUUCCAUUUUAGAAUGUAUUUUCCAUUCCAUUUUAGAAUGUAUUGUCCAUUCUCUGAUGUCAAUUAUGCCUUAAGUGCCACAAAUCUUAAGCUGAUAAGGGAGGCCUUAAUGAGCUCCAGGGUUUGGCUGGAUCAACACUUGCCUGCAGCCCAUUCUCAGAGAUACUGCAGGCUACGGACCUUGAGCUUGGGAAAAGCAAGUUCCUAGAGAAGGAGAACUCCUGGCUGGUCUGUGCAGAUGUUUCUAGGUAGGUCUUUUUGAGGUUUUGAAACAAUCCUGAAGACAGUGCUGGAGGCUGUAGGCACUGAACAGACAUGAGGAGACUGUUUCGAGAAACCUCCUACAGCUCUCCUACGGAAAACAGCAAAUAACCCAAACUAACUGACCUGGCUGGGUGCUGACGGUGGGCUGUAUACACAUGACCCCACUUGAUCUAAGGAGGAAAGCGCUGGUGUGACCCCCAUUCACAGGCUCCGAGAAGUUGGGUGACUUGUCCACGGUCACCCAGACAGAGAACAUUGGAGACGGAACUCAAAUCCACGUCUGACUCCAGGGGCAGGGAGCUGCUCUGAGAGGCAGGAGGGGAGGCUGGAGCCAGCCAGGGUUCUCCUUGCGUGGGCGCCUGAGGAUGGGCAAGGCCAGUGAGCCCCGGUGCUCAGUGUUGGUCUCAUAGGUCAAAGACAGCCAAAUAUUAGCAACUGCACACGUUGUCACCUAAGAAAUGCUAUGGGGAAGGGGCUUUCCUCGGUUCCCUGCUGAAGUCCAGUAACUAGCACGGUGCCUGCCACAGAGGAGGUGCUCAAUAAACGCUCUUGCCUGAGUGGAGACAGGUGGCCAUUUCGGGGCUGGGACUGCCAACCCCGUGGGCUGUCAGCCCAGGAGGCAGAACGUAUUCUAGGGGAACCCUGCAGCCUCUGAGGGUUCUCUGGCUGCCCCGGGGGGCUCCCCUAUUCCUAUGUGAGCUGCCUCACAUACGUUCCUGGCACAGGAAGAUGGCAGUUCUUAACCCAGAUAAAUGCCUGGCUAAUGCGGGACUUUUGUGUGUCAGAGGAGUUCCAGAGAGAGUGUGAGGCCACCUUCCCCAGGGAGUGAGCAUGGGGCAAAGGGCUGGGAGGCAGGCUCCGGCAGGGCAGUGGACCCAGUUGGCCAUAUAUGCCCAAAGAUGACCAUUUUAUACACCAGUGUCUAAUGAAGGUUGCAGGCGAAUGUGAAUGGAACUAAUGAGAAAAUAAUUAUCUAAGCCGGGAGGCCACCCAGGCUCUGGAGGCGGUGAUUUUGGUGCUAAUGGAAAUUGUGGCAAAGUGGAGGGGUGGCUGGAAGAAUUAGCCAUUCUUGUACUUUCCUGAACUGUUGAAUACUCUUCCCCCAGAGCCCCUCCUCUGGCUUUAGAAAAGGCCUUGGUCAGGGAGGGUGUCCGGGAGAGGACGGCAGGACGUGCUGCAGAGACCCAAGUAUCGUCCCUGAAACAGCAAGAGGGCUGCCAGCUGGGUGACCUGGAGGCCAUGGCCGCAGAGGUGGUGGCUGGGCUCCUUCCAAGUCCUUUUGCCCGGCUCCCUGUGCUCAGGUAAAAUCGCUGGAUUGUUUUUGAGAGAGGAAGGGACAUUCCACCAACAACAUCUGCCACUCAGGGCUGUCAAUAGCUCAGCCUUCUUGGUGGUCCCCAGCUAUUGUUUCUUGCAACCUGGCCAUCCAUUUUGAUCAAGCUGCAGGGGGAGAUAAGACUGAACUUGACAAGCUGCAGGCCCUUGCCUAGGAAUUCCACACCUAGUGCCCUGCUUCCUCUCCAUUUCCUGGAAGCAGGACAAUUUUGGGACCCAAGAACCAGCCCUAGUGUUGUUAGGGGUUGGGGGACCAACACAGAUGCAAACUCAGGUUGCUUCUAGAGGUCCCACACAUUUCUUGGGGACCUAAAUUGCAACUGAGUUUGUGCGGCGAAGGGAAAAUCCAUCUUCUUGUGGCUCACACAGCUCCAGCCUUGAGGUUGAGCCUUCGGUGGUCUACAGAUUGCCCUUGUAAGGGCAGCAGAUAAGCUAACUUGAGUAAUUUAGCAUUUCCUUCUCACUGUGUGUGUGAGCUACAUAACCUUUAAAAAUACAGGCUCCCGGGCCCCACCUCAGACCUGCUGAUUCUGAAUCUCCAGGAGUGGGGUCCAGGUCUGUAUUGUUAUUAAAGCGCUCUCCUCCAAACCAGCCUCGGAGACACUGGCCUCAGGAUAAUUCCUAAAUGGAUUCUUCAUUCCAAAGGAUCCAGGCGAGAGAGAGUCGAGGUUGAGUGGUGAGAAACCAGCUUGAUUUACAUGAGGGUGGGGGUGAGAGAGGUUGCCACUGCCUCGAGACCUGCUCUGUGAACAACUGGAGGCUGUAAUUAUACAUGCAAAGUGAAGCUAAAAUUUCAGAGAAGUAUCUGGAGAAUUCAAGUCAGAAGAAGCACGUUCAUCUGAAAUACCUAGAUAAUUAAAGAAAAAAUAUAUUCAUUGCAUAAAUUGCUCAUUAAUUCACUCCUCUGUGGGGGCACACAGUUUAAAAGCAGGCACUUUGAUUAAUCCAAGCUGUAUUAAAUCCUCAAGAUGCUUUUUUUUUUUUUUUCCUGUGUCUGGAUCUUCA
ensembl:lncRNA